rnacentral:rRNA from 1 species
ACGGGUGAGUAACACGUAGGCAACCUGCCUGUAAGAUCGGGAUAACUACCGGAAACGGUAGCUAAGACCGGAUAAUCAAUCCUUUCGCAUGGAGGGAUUGUGAAACAUGGGGCAACCUAUGGCUUACGGAUGGGCCUGCGGCGCAUUAGCUGGUUGGUGGGGUAACGGCCUACCAAGGCGACGAUGCGUAGCCGACCUGAGAGGGUGAACGGCCACACUGGGACUGAGACACGGCCCAGACUCCUACGGGAGGCAGCAGUAGGGAAUCUUCCGCAAUGGACGCAAGUCUGACGGAGCAACGCCGCGUGAGUGAGGAAGGCCUUCGGGUCGUAAAGCUCUGUUGCCCUAGACGAACGCUUGGGAGAGUCACUGCUCUCAAGGUGACGGUAUAGGAGAAGAAAGCCCCGGCUAACUACGUGCCAGCAGCCGCGGUAAUACGUAGGGGGCAAGCGUUGUCCGGAAUUAUUGGGCGUAAAGCGCGCGCAGGCGGUCGUUUAAGUCUUCUGUUUAAUCCCCGGGCUCAACCCGGGUUCGCAGGGGAAACUGGGCGACUGGAGUGUAGGAGAGGAAAGUGGAAUUCCACGUGUAGCGGUGAAAU